UACGUAGGGGGCUAGCGUUGUCCGGAAUCAUUGGGCGUAAAGCGCGUGUAGGCGGCCCGGUAAGUCCGCUGUGAAAGCCGAGGGCUCAACCCUCGGAUGCCGGUGGAUACUGUCGGGCUAGAGUACGGAAGAGGCGAGUGGAAUUCCUGGUGUAGCGGUGAAAUGCGCAGAUAUCAGGAGGAACACCGAUUGCGAAGGCAGCUCGCUGGGACGUUACUGACGCUGAGGAGCGAAAGCGUGGGGAGCAAACAGG
rnacentral:rRNA from 1 species